rnacentral:rRNA from 1 species
CCUACGGGGGGCUGCAGUGGGGAAUAUUGCGCAAUGGCCGCAAGGCUGACGCAGCGACGCCGCGUGGGGGAUGACGCAUUUCGGUGUGUAAACCCCUGUUGCUCGGGACGAACAUGGCUUUUCGAGGCCACUGACGGUACCGGGUGAGGAAGCACCGGCUAACUCCGUGCCAGCAGCCGCGGUAAUACGGAGGGUGCGAGCGUUGUCCGGAAUCACUGGGCGUAAAGGGCGCGUAGGCGGUUGGCUAAGCGUGCGGUGAAAGCCCGGGGCUCAAC